rnacentral:rRNA from 1 species
CCCCAGCUUUGUGAGUCGGUGUGAUAGUUGUCUUCACCGCACAGAUGCAAUUUUGGUGGCCAAUGCCCUCGAAAGGUCCCCUCUGGGACAAUGACUUGACAAUUUGACCUCAAAUCGGGUGGGACUACCCGCUGAACUUAAGCAUAUCAAUAAGCGGAGGAAAAGAAACUAACAAGGAUUCCCCUAGUAACGGCGAGUGAAGAGGGAAGAGCUCAAAUUUUAAAUCUGGCAUCCUCGAUGUCCGAGUUGUAAUCUAGAGAAAUGUUUUCCGCGUCGGACCAUGCACAAGUCCUCUGGAAUGGGGUGUCAAAGAGGGUGAGAAUCCCGUAGAUGGCAUGGACUCCCUUCGCUUUGUGAUACAUUCUCCACGAGUCGAGUUGUUUGGGAAUGCAGCUCAAAAUGGGUGGUAAAUUCCAUCUAAAGCUAAAUAUUGGCGAGAGACCGAUAGCGAACAAGUACCGCGAGGGAAAGAUGAAAAGCACUUUGGAAAGAGAGUGAAACAGUACGUGAAAUUGUUGAAAGGGAAACGCUUGAAGUCAGUCGUGCUCGCCUGGAUUCAGCCUGGCCUUGGCCUGGUGUACUUUCAUGUGAGCGGGUCAACAUCAAUUUCGAUCGAGGGAGAAAGGCCUUGGGAAUGUGACAGUGUUCGCACUGUGUUAUAGCCCUCGGUCGUAUAUCUCGGUUGGGAUUGAGGACUGCAGCGCACCUUCAUGGCCGGGGCUCUGCCCACGUUUGCGCUUAGGAUGUUGGCAUAAUGGCUUUAAGCGACC